GGGUUGUGAGGUUAAGCGACUAAGCGUACACGGUGGAUGCCCUGGCAGUCAGAGGCGAUGAAGGGCGUGCUAAUCUGCGAUAAGCGCCGGUAAGGUGAUAUGAACCGUUAUAACCGGCGAUACCCGAAUGGGGAAACCCAGUGUGAUUCGUCACACUAUCAUUAACUGAAUCCAUAGGUUAAUGAGGCGAACCGGGGGAACUGAAACAUCUAAGUACCCCGAGGAAAAGAAAUCAACCGAGAUUCCCCCAGUAGCGGCGAGCGAACGGGGAGGAGCCCAGAGCCUGAAUCAGCAUGUGUGUUAGUGGAAGCGUCUGGAAAGGCGCGCGAUACAGGGUGACAGCCCCGUACACAAAAGCGCAUGUGCUGUGAGCUCGAUGAGUAGGGCGGGACACGUGGUAUCCUGUCUGAAUAUGGGGGGACCAUCCUCCAAGGCUAAAUACUCCUGACUGACCGAUAGUGAACCAGUACCGUGAGGGAAAGGCGAAAAGAACCCCGGCGAGGGGAGUGAAAAAGAACCUGAAACCGUGUACGUACAAGCAGUGGGAGCNNNNNNNNNNNNNNNNNNNNNNNNNNNNNNNNNNNNNNNNNNNNNNNNNGGGCGUUAAGUUGCAGGGUAUAGACCCGAAACCCGGUGAUCUAGCCAUGGGCAGGUUGAAGGUUGGGUAACACUAACUGGAGGACCGAACCGACUAAUGUUGAAAAAUUAGCGGAUGACCUGUGGCUGGGGGUGAAAGGCCAAUCAAACCGGGAGAUAGCUGGUUCUCCCCGAAAGCUAUUUAGGUAGCGCCUCGUGAAUUCAUCUCCGGGGGUAGAGCACUGUUUCGGCUAGGGGGCCAUCCCGGCUUACCAACCCGAUGCAAACUGCGAAUACCGGAGAAUGUUAUCACGGGAGACACACGGCGGGUGCUAACGUCCGUCGUGAAGAGGGAAACAACCCAGACCGCCAGCUAAGGUCCCAAAGUCAUGGUUAAGUGGGAAACGAUGUGGGAAGGCCCAGACAGCCAGGAUGUUGGCUUAGAAGCAGCCAUCAUUUAAAGAAAGCGUAAUAGCUCACUGGUCGAGUCGGCCUGCGCGGAAGAUGUAACGGGGCUAAACCAUGCACCGAAGCUGCGGCAGCGACACUGUGUGUUGUUGGGUAGGGGAGCGUUCUGUAAGCCUGUGAAGGUGUGUCGUGAGGCAUGCUGGAGGUAUCAGAAGUGCGAAUGCUGACAUAAGUAACGAUAAAGCGGGUGAAAAGCCCGCUCGCCGGAAGACCAAGGGUUCCUGUCCAACGUUAAUCGGGGCAGGGUGAGUCGACCCCUAAGGCGAGGCCGAAAGGCGUAGUCGAUGGGAAACGGGUUAAUAUUCCCGUACUUGGUGUUACUGCGAAGGGGGGACGGAGAAGGCUAUGUUGGCCGGGCGACGGUUGUCCCGGUUUAAGCGUGUAGGUGUGUGUUCCAGGUAAAUCCGGUUCACUUUAACACUGAGGCGUGACGACGAGGCACUACGGUGCUGAAGCAACAAAUGCCCUGCUUCCAGGAAAAGCCUCUAAGCAUCAGGUAACAUCAAAUCGUACCCCAAACCGACACAGGUGGUCAGGUAGAGAAUACCAAGGCGCUUGAGAGAACUCGGGUGAAGGAACUAGGCAAAAUGGUGCCGUAACUUCGGGAGAAGGCACGCUGACACGUAGGUGAAGUGAUUUACUCAUGGAGCUGAAGUCAGUCGAAGAUACCAGCUGGCUGCAACUGUUUAUUAAAAACACAGCACUGUGCAAACACGAAAGUGGACGUAUACGGUGUGACGCCUGCCCGGUGCCGGAAGGUUAAUUGAUGGGGUCAGCGCAAGCGAAGCUCCUGAUCGAAGCCCCGGUAAACGGCGGCCGUAACUAUAACGGUCCUAAGGUAGCGAAAUUCCUUGUCGGGUAAGUUCCGACCUGCACGAAUGGCGUAAUGAUGGCCAGGCUGUCUCCACCCGAGACUCAGUGAAAUUGAACUCGCUGUGAAGAUGCAGUGUACCCGCGGCAAGACGGAAAGACCCCGUGAACCUUUACUAUAGCUUGACACUGAACAUUGAGCCUUGAUGUGUAGGAUAGGUGGGAGGCUUUGAAGUGUGGACGCCAGUCUGCAUGGAGCCGACCUUGAAAUACCACCCUUUAAUGUUUGAUGUUCUAACGUGGACCCGUUACCCGGGUUGCGGACAGUGUCUGGUGGGUAGUUUGACUGGGGCGGUCUCCUCCUAAAGAGUAACGGAGGAGCACGAAGGUUGGCUAAUCCUGGUCGGACAUCAGGAGGUUAGUGCAAUGGCAUAAGCCAGCUUGACUGCGAGCGUGACGGCGCGAGCAGGUGCGAAAGCAGGUCAUAGUGAUCCGGUGGUUCUGAAUGGAAGGGCCAUCGCUCAACGGAUAAAAGGUACUCCGGGGAUAACAGGCUGAUACCGCCCAAGAGUUCAUAUCGACGGCGGUGUUUGGCACCUCGAUGUCGGCUCAUCACAUCCUGGGGCUGAAGUAGGUCCCAAGGGUAUGGCUGUUCGCCAUUUAAAGUGGUACGCGAGCUGGGUUUAGAACGUCGUGAGACAGUUCGGUCCCUAUCUGCCGUGGGCGCUGGAGAACUGAGGGGGGCUGCUCCUAGUACGAGAGGACCGGAGUGGACGCAUCACUGGUGUUCGGGUUGUCAUGCCAAUGGCACUGCCCGGUAGCUAAAUGCGGAAGAGAUAAGUGCUGAAAGCAUCUAAGCACGAAACUUGCCCCGAGAUGAGUUCUCCCUGAGACUUAAAGUCUCCUGAAGGAACGUUGAAGACGACGACGUUGAUAGGCCGGGUGUGUAAGCGCAGCGAUGCGUUGAGCUAACCGGUACUAAUGAACCGUGAGGCUUAACCUUACAACGCCGAAG
rnacentral:rRNA from 1 species